GCGACGACCGCCAGGCGAUACAACGGUCGCAUUAUGAUGGCCGAGUAGCAUCGCUGCCGUGCGAGUGUGUCAACAAAAACUCUUGUGCUGGGUGUGCUCCCAUCUGGACUAUCGAUGUUUUGUCGCUUUUCUUUACGAGGCCCCUGAGGCGCCCGGCAUGAAGCGAAAGAAGAGCCCACAGCCGGGCCACCGGGUGCUGGUGCCGUCAGCCGACAGCCCCGGGCCCCUGUCGCCCCUGCAGCACGGCCCGCCACCAAUGCGUGCACGGGGCUCCUCUGCGGGCUCCCUUGAUGACGACAUGGGGGCCGACAACACAAUGCUGCGAGUGGGCCACUCUCGCCACCUCCGUCGAGAGCGUUGAGGGCAAGCUGAGGCUGAAGCCGGCCGAGUCGUUCUUGGCAUUGGACAGAUGGUAGGCUGUGCGUGUGAAUGGGUAGCGAG
rnacentral:lncRNA from 1 species